ACGAACGCUGGCGGCGUGCUUAACACAUGCAAGUCGAACGGAAAGGCCCUGCUUUUGUGGGGUGCUCGAGUGGCGAACGGGUGAGUAACACGUGAGUAACCUGCCCUUGACUUUGGGAUAACUUCAGGAAACUGGGGCUAAUACCGGAUAUGAGCUCCUGCUGCAUGGUGGGGGUUGGAAAGUUUCGGCGGUUGGGGAUGGACUCGCGGCUUAUCAGCUUGUUGGUGGGGGAGUGGCUUACCCAGGCUUUGACGGGUAGCCGGCCUGAGAGGGUGACCGGCCACAUUGGGACUGAGAUAGGGCCCAGACUCAUACGGGAGGAAGCAGUGGGAAUAUUGCACAAUGGGCGGAAGCCUGAUGCAGCAACGCCGCGUGCGGGAUGACGGCCUUCGGGUUGUAAACCGCUUUCGCCUGUGACGAAGCGUGAGUGACGGUAAUGGGUAAAGAAGCACCGGCUAACUACGUG
rnacentral:rRNA from 1 species